AACGCGAAGAACCUUACCAGCUCUUGACAUGCCCGGUAUGGGUGGGAGAGAUCCCCCUCUUCGGUUCGGCCGGCCGGGACACAGGUGCUGCAUGGCUGUCGUCAGCUCGUGUCGUGAGAUGUUGGGUUAAGUCCCGCAACGAGCGCAACCCCCAUCUGCAGUUGCCAUCGGGUCAUGCCGGGCACUCUGCAGAAACUGCCGGUGACAAGCCGGAGGAAGGCGGGGAUGACGUCAAGUCCUCAUGGCCCUUAUGGGCUGGGCUACACACGUGCUACAAUGGCUGGCACAGAGGGGAGCCAACCCGCGAGGGGGAGCCAAUCCUGCCAAAGCCAGUCUCAGUUCGGAUUGGAGGCUGCAACUCGCCUCCAUGAAGCUGGAGUUGCUAGUAAUGCUAUAUCAGAACGAUAGCGUGAAUACGUUCCCGGGCCUUGUACACACCGCGAGC
rnacentral:rRNA from 1 species